AUGACCAGAGACAACCUGAGGAAAAGACAUAUCAUCAAACCCCUAGAUUGUGUUUUCUGCUCUGAGCAUGAAACCAUAUCUCACCUGUUCUUUGAGUGUGUGGUAGCAAAAAAUAUCUGGCCGUUUAUAGCCGACCACUUCAGGAUCCAGAUAGGGAUUGACUUUGAAUCAGUAGCCAGAUUCUGGGUCUCUAACAAAAAGAACUCGGCUUUGAAUAUGGUUUCUUCUGCUGUCCUGUGGUGUCUGUGGAAAUAUAGGAACUCUAUCAUCUUUAACAACACCAUUUGGAAGUCUAUUGCGCAGGUUUGGCGGCUGAUCCUCAGGAGUCUCAAGUUCUGGGCGAUCUUGGCUCCGAAAAGUGGCAGUGCGCGUCUAGAGAGCUUCCUGACAGCACUAGCUACUUUCUCCCAAUUACCGCUGAGGAUAACGAGUGGCUGA
rnacentral:rRNA from 1 species